CCCGAUCGGACCCCGGACGUGAAGUCGACGAUGGUCGGUGGGCUGGUUUUGGUAAGCAGAACGGGCGAUUCGGGAUGAACCGGAAGCGGGGAGAAAGGGCCCGAGAUUGCGUCGACGCGGAUCCCGAAAAGGGCGUCGAUCCGUCGCGACAGCGGGACGGUGGUCAUGGAAGUCGAAAUCCGCUAAGAAGCGUGUAAAAACGUACCCGCCCAACGGAUCGGCCCCGAAAAUUGAUGGCGCUCGAACGCAACCCUCGAACCCCGCCGACGGAGGCUAGGGGAGGCCCCGUCGAGUAGGCGGACGCGCGGGUCGCUUCGACGCUCCCGCGCGAGCGGGGGCGGAGCGGCCCGUGGUGCAGAUCUUGGUGGUAGUAGCGAUCACCCAGGCGAGAACCCUGAGGGCCGAAGUGGAGAAGGGUUUCUCGAGAACGGCACUCGCUCGAGAGUUAGUCGAUCCUAAGCUGCCGGCGGCAGCCACGAAACGGUCGAUCGGGCGCGAGCCCGGCAGCCACGACCGGGCAGCGAAAGGGAAUUGGGAACCUCUCCAACCGGACGGAACGAGGGCGGCGACGCGU
rnacentral:rRNA from 1 species